rnacentral:rRNA from 1 species
UACGUAGGGUCCGAGCGUUGUCCGGAAUUACUGGGCGUAAAGGGCUCGUAGGCGGCCAACUAAGUCAGACGUGAAAUCCCUCAGCUUAACUGGGGAACUGCGUCUGAUACUGGAUGGCUUGGAUCCGGGAGAGGGAUGCGGAAUUCCAGGUGUAGCGGUGAAAUGCGUAGAUAUCUGGAGGAACACCGGUGGCGAAGGCGGCAUCCUGGACCGGUAUUGACGCUGAGGAGCGAAAGCCAGGGGAGCAAACGGG